rnacentral:rRNA from 1 species
CGGUUGGAAACGACCGCUAAUACCGAAUGUGGUAUGUUUAGGCAUCUAAAGCAUAUUAAAGAAGGGGAUCUUCGGACCUUUCGGUUAAGGGAGAGUCUAUGGGAUAUCAGCUUGUUGGUGGGGUAAUGGCCUACCAAGGCUUUGACGUCUAGGCGGAUUGAGAGAUUGACCGCCAACACUGGGACUGAGACACUGCCCAGACUUCUACGGAAGGCUGCAGUCGAGAAUCUUUCGCAAUGGACGAAAGUCUGACGAAGCGACGCCGCGUGUGUGAUGAAGGCUCUAGGGUUGUAAAGCACUUUCGCUUGGGAAUAAGAAAGAUUGGCUAAUAUCCAAUCGAUUUGAGCGUACCAGGUAAAGAAGCACCGGCUAACUCCGUGCCAGCAGCUGCGGUAAUACGGAGGGUGCUAGCGUUAAUCGGAUUUAUUGGGCGUAAAGGGCGUGUAGGCGGAAAGGAAAGUUAGAUGUUAAAUCUUGAGGCUCAACUUCAAGCCGGCAUCUAAUACUAUCUUUCUAGAGGGUAGAUGGAGAAAAGGGAAUUCCACGUGUAGCGGUGAAAUGCGUAGAUAUGUGGAAGAACACUAGUGGCGAAGGCGCUUUUCUAAUUUACACCUGACGCUGAGGCGCGAAAGCAAGGGGAGCAAACAGGAUUAGAUACCCUGGUAGUCCUUGCUGUAAACGAUGCAUACUUGAUGUGGAUAGUCUCAACCCUAUCCGUGUCGUAGCUAACGCGUUAAGUAUGCCGCCUGAGGAGUACACUCGCAAGGGUGAAACUCAAAAGAAUUGACGGGGGCCCGCACAAGCAGUGGAGCAUGUGGUUUAAUUCGAUGCAACGCGAAGAACCUUACCUGGGCUUGACAUGUAUACGAUCGCGGCAGAAAUGUCGUUUUCCGUAAGGACGGAUACACAGGUGCUGCAUGGCUGUCGUCAGCUCGUGCCGUGAGGUGUUGGGUUAAGUCCCGCAACGAGCGCAACCCUUAUCGUUAGUUGCCAGCACUUCGGGUGGGAACUCUAACGAGACUGCCUGGGUUAACCAGGAGGAAGGCGAGGAUGACGUCAAGUCAGCAUGGCCCUUAUGCCCAGGGCUACACACGUGCUACAAUGGCCAGUACAGAAGGUAGCAAGRCCGUGAGGUGGAGCAAAU